rnacentral:rRNA from 1 species
AGCGAACGCUGGCGGCAGGCCUAACACAUGCAAGUCGAACGAAGUCUUCGGACUUAGUGGCGGACGGGUGAGUAACACGUGGGAACGUGCCUUUAGGUUCGGAAUAACUCAGGGAAACUUGUGCUAAUACCGAAUGUGCCCUUCGGGGGAAAGAUUUAUCGCCUUUAGAGCGGCCCGCGUCUGAUUAGCUAGCUGGUGAGGUAAUGGCUCACCAAGGCUACGAUCAGUAGCUGGUCUGAGAGGAUGACCAGCCACAUUGGGACUGAGACACGGCCCAAACUCCUACGGGAGGCAGCAGUGGGGAAUCUUGCGCAAUGGGCGAAAGCCUGACGCAGCCAUGCCGCGUGGAUGAUGAAGGUCUUAGGAUUGUAAAAUCCUUUCACCGGUGAAGAUAAUGACUGUAGCCGGAGAAGAAGCCCCGGCUAACUUCGUGCCAGCAGCCGCAGUAAGAC